AGCGUACACGGUGGAUGCCCUGGCAGUCAGAGGCGAUGAAGGACGUGCUAAUCUGCGAUAAGCGUCGGUGAGGUGAUAUGAACCGUUAUAACCGGCGAUUUCCGAAUGGGGAAACCCAGUGUGUUUCGACACACUAUCAUUAACUGAAUCCAUAGGUUAAUGAGGCGAACCGGGGGAACUGAAACAUCUAAGUACCCCGAGGAAAAGAAAUCAACCGAGAUUCCCCCAGUAGCGGCGAGCGAACGGGGAGGAGCCCAGAGCCUGAAUCAGUGUGUGUGUUAGUGGAAGCGUCUGGAAAGGCGCGCGAUACAGGGUGACAGCCCCGUACACAAAAAUGCACAUACUGUGAGCUCGAUGAGUAGGGCGGGACACGUGGUAUCCUGUCUGAAUAUGGGGGGACCAUCCUCCAAGGCUAAAUACUCCUGACUGACCGAUAGUGAACCAGUACCGUGAGGGAAAGGCGAAAAGAACCCCGGCGAGGGGAGUGAAAAAGAACCUGAAACCGUGUACGUACAAGCAGUGGGAGCCUCUUAAUGGGGUGACUGCGUACCUUUUGUAUAAUGGGUCAGCGACUUAUAUUCUGUAGCAAGGUUAACCGAAUAGGGGAGCCGAAGGGAAACCGAGUCUUAACUGGGCGUUAAGUUGCAGGGUAUAGACCCGAAACCCGGUGAUCUAGCCAUGGGCAGGUUGAAGGUUGGGUAACACUAACUGGAGGACCGAACCGACUAAUGUUGAAAAAUUAGCGGAUGACUUGUGGCUGGGGGUGAAAGGCCAAUCAAACCGGGAGAUAGCUGGUUCUCCCCGAAAGCUAUUUAGGUAGCGCCUCGUGAAUUCAUCUCCGGGGGUAGAGCACUGUUUCGGCAAGGGGGUCAUCCCGACUUACCAACCCGAUGCAAACUGCGAAUACCGGAGAAUGUUAUCACGGGAGACACACGGCGGGUGCUAACGUCCGUCGUGAAGAGGGAAACAACCCAGACCGCCAGCUAAGGUCCCAAAGUCAUGGUUAAGUGGGAAACGAUGUGGGAAGGCCCAGACAGCCAGGAUGUUGGCUUAGAAGCAGCCAUCAUUUAAAGAAAGCGUAAUAGCUCACUGGUCGAGUCGGCCUGCGCGGAAGAUGUAACGGGGCUAAACCAUGCACCGAAGCUGCGGCAGCGACACUAUGUGUUGUUGGGUAGGGGAGCGUUCUGUAAGCCUGUGAAGGUGUGCUGUGAGGCAUGCUGGAGGUAUCAGAAGUGCGAAUGCUGACAUAAGUAACGAUAAAGCGGGUGAAAAGCCCGCUCGCCGGAAGACCAAGGGUUCCUGUCCAACGUUAAUCGGGGCAGGGUGAGUCGACCCCUAAGGCGAGGCCGAAAGGCGUAGUCGAUGGGAAACAGGUUAAUAUUCCUGUACUUGGUGUUACUGCGAAGGGGGGACGGAGAAGGCUAUGUUGGCCGGGCGACGGUUGUCCCGGUUUAAGCGUGUAGGCUGGUUUUCCAGGCAAAUCCGGAAAACCAAGGCUGAGGCGUGAUGACGAGGCACUACGGUGCUGAAGCGACAAAUGCCCUGCUUCCAGGAAAAGCCUCUAAGCAUCAGGUAACAUUAAAUCGUACCCCAAACCGACACAGGUGGUCAGGUAGAGAAUACCAAGGCGCUUGAGAGAACUCGGGUGAAGGAACUAGGCAAAAUGGUGCCGUAACUUCGGGAGAAGGCACGCUGAUAUGUAGGUGAAGCGACUUGCUCGUGGAGCUGAAAUCAGUCGAAGAUACCAGCUGGCUGCAACUGUUUAUUAAAAACACAGCACUGUGCAAACACGAAAGUGGACGUAUACGGUGUGACGCCUGCCCGGUGCCGGAAGGUUAAUUGAUGGGGUUAGCGGUAACGCGAAGCUCUUGAUCGAAGCCCCGGUAAACGGCGGCCGUAACUAUAACGGUCCUAAGGUAGCGAAAUUCCUUGUCGGGUAAGUUCCGACCUGCACGAAUGGCGUAAUGAUGGCCAGGCUGUCUCCACCCGAGACUCAGUGAAAUUGAACUCGCUGUGAAGAUGCAGUGUACCCGCGGCAAGACGGAAAGACCCCGUGAACCUUUACUAUAGCUUGACACUGAACAUUGAGCCUUGAUGUGUAGGAUAGGUGGGAGGCUUUGAAGUGUGGACGCCAGUCUGCAUGGAGCCGACCUUGAAAUACCACCCUUUAAUGUUUGAUGUUCUAACGUUGGCCCGUAAUCCGGGUUGCGGACAGUGUCUGGUGGGUAGUUUGACUGGGGCGGUCUCCUCCUAAAGAGUAACGGAGGAGCACGAAGGUUGGCUAAUCCUGGUCGGACAUCAGGAGGUUAGUGCAAUGGCAUAAGCCAGCUUGACUGCGAGCGUGACGGCGCGAGCAGGUGCGAAAGCAGGUCAUAGUGAUCCGGUGGUUCUGAAUGGAAGGGCCAUCGCUCAACGGAUAAAAGGUACUCCGGGGAUAACAGGCUGAUACCGCCCAAGAGUUCAUAUCGACGGCGGUGUUUGGCACCUCGAUGUCGGCUCAUCACAUCCUGGGGCUGAAGUAGGUCCCAAGGGUAUGGCUGUUCGCCAUUUAAAGUGGUACGCGAGCUGGGUUUAGAACGUCGUGAGACAGUUCGGUCCCUAUCUGCCGUGGGCGCUGGAGAACUGAGGGGGGCUGCUCCUAGUACGAGAGGACCGGAGUGGACGCAUCACUGGUGUUCGGGUUGUCAUGCCAAUGGCACUGCCCGGUAGCUAAAUGCGGAAGAGAUAAGUGCUGAAAGCAUCUAAGCACGAAACUUGCCCCGAGAUGAGUUCUCCCUGACUCCUUGA
rnacentral:rRNA from 1 species